AGAGUUUGAUCAUGGCUCAGGACGAACGCUGGCGGCGUGCUUAAGACAUGCAAGUCGAACGGAUCGAGGGCCUUCGGGCUUUCGAUUAGUGGCGGACGGGUGAGUAACACGUGAGCAACCUGCCCUUCUAGCCGGGAUAACACCGCGAAAGUGGUGCUAAUACCGGAUACGUUCCCGAGGCCACAUGGCCUUGGGAGGAAAGGGGAAACCCGCAGAAGGAGGGGCUCGCGGCCCAUUAGCUAGUUGGUGUGGUAAUGGCGCACCAAGGCGACGAUGGGUAGCCGGCCUGAGAGGGUGAACGGCCACACUGGGACUGAGAUACGGCCCAGACUCCUACGGGAGGCAGCAGUCGGGAAUCUUCGGCAAUGGGCGAAAGCCUGACCGAGCAACGCCGCGUGGGUGAGGAAGGCCUUCGGGUUGUAAAGCCCUGUCCCAAGGGACGAAGAAAGUGACGGUACCUUGGGAGGAAGCCCCGGCUAACUACGUGCCAGCAGCCGCGGUAAUACGUAGGGGGCAAGCGUUGUCCGGAAUUACUGGGYGUAAAGGGCGUGUAGGCGGCCACUUAAGUUCGGUGUGAAAGGCAUGGGCUCAACCUGUGGACUGCAUCGAAAACUGGGUGGCUUGAGGGUAGUAGAGGAGAGCGGAAUUCCCGGUGUAGCGGUAAAAUGCGUAGAUAUCGGGAGGAACACCAGUGGCGAAGGCGGCUCUCUGGGCUACACCUGACGCUGAGGCGCGAAAGCUAGGGGAGCAAACGGGAUUAGAUACCCCGGUAGUCCUAGCCGUAAACGAUGGGUACUAGGUGUAGGAGGUAUCGACCCCUCCUGUGCCGCAGUUAACACAAUAAGUACCCCGCCUGGGGAGUACGGCCGCAAGGUUGAAACUCAAAGGAAUUGACGGGGGCCCGCACAAGCAGUGGAGCAUGUGGUUUAAUUCGACGCAACGCGCAGAACCUUACCAGGGCUUGACAUCCCCUGACCGCCGUGGAAACGCGGUUUCCCAGGCUUCGGUCUGGGCAGGGUGACAGGUGGUGCAUGGUUGUCGUCAGCUCGUGUCGUGAGAUGUUGGGUUAAGUCCCGCAACGAGCGCAACCCUUAUUCUCUGUUGCCAGCAUUCAGUUGGGCACUCAGAGGAGACUGCCGGAGACGAUCCGGAGGAAGGUGGGGAUGACGUCAAAUCAUCAUGCCCCUUAUGUCCUGGGCUACACACGUGCUACAAUGGCCGGCACAACGGGCGGCGAGGCAGCGAUGCCAAGCGAAUCCCUCAAAGCCGGCCCCAGUUCGGAUCGCAGGCUGCAACCCGCCUGCGUGAAGCCGGAAUUGCUAGUAAUCGCGGAUCAGCACGCCGCGGUGAAUACGUUCCCGGGCCUUGUACACACCGCCCGUCACACCACGAAAGUUGGCAACACCCGAAGUCGGUGGGCUAACCCGCAAGGGAGGCAGCCGCCGAAGGUGGGGUCAAUGAUUGGGGUGAAGUCGUAACAAGGUAGCCGUA
rnacentral:rRNA from 1 species